UUCAGUGGCGAUGGCUAUGAGGAUCCACCUGUUCCCAUCUCGAACACAGUAGUUAAGCUCAUAAACG
rnacentral:rRNA from 1 species